GACAACAGACCGAGGUCAGAACCAUCAACACCAACUGAGUUAAAUCACUCGAGGAUCCGGACUAACAAUGACACUCCAGUCCACAGUAAAGCAUUGAGAAGCAUGCUUAAAACUGUGCUAGAUCAACAAGCGGAGAUCUUGGAGAGGCUGAAAAGAGUUGAAAAGAGAGAAGAUGAAAGAGAAAGUAAAAAAGAUGAGCAGAUCUAUGUACCCCCUAGUGUUCAGGCAUUGUGAAAGUGAAAAUGAGGCAAUGUCCAACCACAUCAUGACAUUUGUAAAAGGUUGGAACACAAAUGUCCAAGAAAAGGUCAUUC